GCUUCUUUUUUUGUUCAUUUCCCUUUUAAUUUAAAUUUUGUUUUACAGUUUUUGCUUUUACCUGGCUAGUUUUGGAACAAGAACUAUAUUUGUUUUGCAAUUUUAGGUGGCUAAUCAACAGUUAAUUCGGGUAAACAGCUUGUUCUUCAACGUUCAAGCGAACACCCUUUUGUUUUCUACAUUAGAAUGCCCAUUACAUUGGGCAUUUAGGCUUGAAAUUUUGAAAUAAUAUGGUCCUUAAUCCUCAAAGACCCAGGUUGUAUUGUUUGGUAUUUGAUGUACGUUUUAUCAAGUAGCCAGGUGUUGGUGUGAAUUCCGUAGAUUUCACAUAUAAUUUUUUUAAACUUCUUUUUUAGAACAAUGACUCUGGGGAUUGGAGGAUAACAUCAAAUUGGUGCAAAUAUCAUCUCUUGACAAUCUGAAUUGUCCUCUGGAGAAACAGUCUUUGACUGGUUUGAGGGAGGAGAGAAAGGAAGAAGCUUUUGAUCAAUGGGACUCUUGUGAAGCAUGAGAGCCCUGCUGUUGGUAAUGUUGAUUUAAGGAGUAAAUGUUUGGAUGCUAGCAUGGUGGUUCUGGAGAUUCUAUUUUUCUGCAUGUUCAUCAUGUUGGAACUCAUGCCGUCUGCACUUUAGUAAAUUGAGACCCUAAUCUGGCAUGUACUGUGUUGAACAUGUUGCACUAUCAUGGUGGAUUCCCUUUCCCAUGAAAAUACAGCUCAUAUUUUUCAGUUUAGGACAUCACAGGAAAUUCCCUGCUAAGAAGUUUGGUGCUGUGCAAUGAAGACCAUUCAUUGUAACAGUGGGCACUAGUUCUAAUCUUUUCCAGUUCAAUUUCUUGGUCAACUAAAGGUAAUAGGAAUGUGAAAUGUAAAAACUAGAUAUUGGUGCCAAAAUCAUCUCUGUGCCCUUAUCUCCAUGCCCAAUAUUUAAGAAGUUACCUCCAUGUAUCCCAACCUACAUGCUUAAACCUCUGAACGUAGAUGGUAAGUUAGUAACCUGCAUCAUAACUAUGAAUUUCCUCUAGGCUAUACCCAGUUUAUCCAUUCAUUACCAUUUGUUUUAGCAUUCAAUGGAAUUGCUGGGGAAUGCAGAUAUGAUAUCCAUUAACCUGUUCCAUGCCAACUUCAUUAAUGCCUUUGCAAGAAGCCUUUUAUUGAAAUGCUUUGCUUAGUGCAGCCAUAUCGCUACCCAGUGAAAUAUGUGUUUAAUUUCUAACUUGAUGCAUGUAACUAGAAAAUGCUCUAGAAUUGCUGUGUCAUUGCACAUAAUUGCAGGCUAUCCAGCUUUGCUGAUUAAGAGGUCACUAGAAUGGGCGACAACACUGAUCUGCAGUUUUGGUGAUGAUAGGACCUGAAUUUUUAUGUGGUGACAAAGUUUCACGUAUUGCAACCAGAUUGGCGGACCCAUGGCAAUUACUAGCAUUUCAAAAGGCUCUGUUGAUCGAUUCUUUCUCGUGGAUAGCCAGAAUUACCAAUUGCUGCAAGUGCUUUCUGCGCCAGCCAUGGUGCCUAUUUGGUCAUCAACUGCGACAUGUGCAAAAGGAAAAGGUUUCCUCUUUUUCCACUGUGGAGCAAGAGCCACGUGUUGUGGCCAACAUUGUCUGUACAUUCCAAAUUCAUUUCCUUUUCACGGGUUAUACAGGAACGGCAUGCUGUGUUUAUCUGGCUUUCCAACUAUAUAGGGCAGUUGCCUUUGAAAAAGAAAAACUGUAUAGGGCAAUUUCCUGAAUUCAUGUUUUUUAACACAUUCAAAUGCUUAUGUCCAAUGUUGGAUGCGAAUAUAUACCUUGAAAAAAAAGA